rnacentral:rRNA from 1 species
CCUACGGGGGGCUGCAGUGAGGAAUAUUGCACAAUGGGGGAAACCCUGAUGCAGCAACGCCGCGUGGAGGAUGACGCAUUUCGGUGUGUAAACUCCUUUUAUGAGUCAAGAAAAUGACGGUAGCUCAUGAAUAAGCACCGGCUAACUCCGUGCCAGCAGCCGCGGUAAUACGGAGGGUGCAAGCGUUACUCGGAAUCACUGGGCGUAAAGGACGCGUAGGCUGUUUAGCAAGUCAGGUGUGAAAUCCUAUGGCUCAACCAUAGAACUGCACUUGAAACUGCUAGACUAGAGUAUGGGAGGGGGAGAUGGAAUUAGUGGUGUAGGGGUAAAAUCCGUAGAUAUCACUAGGAAUAUCUAAAGCGAAGGCGAUCUCCUGGAACAUUACUGACGCUAAGGCGUGAAAGCGUGGGGAGCAAACAGGAUUAGAUACCCUAGUAGUC